rnacentral:lncRNA from 10 species
CUUUUAAAGCAUUUUCCUGCUCCAAACACAGUCAAGUUCAAAACAAACAGUUCAACCCAGCUGCCAGCCAUGGGAGCAACCCAUGUGCAACAGGCAGAAAGCAUUGCUCCCUCUGCUUGGAGGAGUUAGGGGAGGCACCUGGUCCCUAAACAGGAGGCACCCACAUCCCGCUUAGGAUUGGUGCACCCUGGGGGCCCUGCAGGAUGCUGGGAUACCCGUGGAUGCUGCAGGGCGUGGCUCCCCAAUAGCCAAGCUGGCCAGCUCAGCCAAAUGGACAGGCCAAGGGGGACAGAAGAAGUGGCCAUGAAGGCUCCAGUUUCCGCAGGUUCUAGCACUCAGCAGACCUGGGUUCAAACCCAGGCUCUGCCACUUACCAGUCAGCGUCCCUGGCCACAUAAAGAAGCUGCUGAAAGGCGAAGUAACCAGGCUGAGGUCGGAGGGCUGCCAAGUCAGAGCUGAGAUGCAGAGGACGGUGGCGGGCACGCGGGGCUCCUGCAGAGCAGUACAAGCACACGUGUUUUGCCUGCGGCACAGAGUUGGAAAAUCAAUACACACGAGAUUCUUUCCUUCCAUUUUUUGUAUUUCUGAAACCCUGGUGCGGGGUCUAGAGUAAGUGCUCAGCAAAGGUUUAUGAAACGAACGAAUGCGCUGGUGCAUUUUGUCCUCCUAGAAGUGUCCAGAGCAAAUAUGAACACACAUGCAACAGGGAUGUCUUGAUGAGGGUCUGUUUCCCCUACGCCCUGUAAGUGUCCACUUGUAACCAUAGUGGCUUCUAGGGGACGCUUCUGGCACAGGGUUGGACACACCACCUACUGGAGGACAGACCCACUGACGUGUGGAUGGUAUUGGAGAUGCAAGGACACCUGCCCUAAUCAGCUCCUUGCUCUCCUCUGCCGACCUGCCCUAUGGUAAGAAGUGGGGAGGCCCCUACCCCUCCCAGGCCUCCCUGUCCUCUCUACCCACUCGGGAGCCUGGUGCCCAGUCUUCGCUCUGAAUUGUUGACUCUCUGCUGGGGCACACCCCACCCCCACUUUACCACCCUCCCCAGUCUUUCUACCCACUUGCUUUUUGGAUUCAGCAUUGUCCAGGUUAGGCAAGGUGGCCACCAGCCUCUUUACAAACUAGCCCCUAUGUGGAAUUCAAUAAACCUCUGGUCUUCCUAGAGCAGAGACCAACCUGGGGCAGGCUUGGUAGGGCCUGAGCUUGGUGGCGCCCUGUUGGGGGCUGCCUGAAGCACACACACUUGCUGGGACCCCUUGAAGUGGCCCUGUCUGCCUGCAGCCUGCCGCAGGACCCACAGCCACACUGCUGGGCCCGGGGUGCGUGCAGCCUCAGCUCUGGAGUCACCGGCCAGGCUGAGAAAUAGGAGGAUCAGCAGAGGUGUAGACCCCUCAGCCUUGUUCUCUCCCCCCAGGGCUUUAAGUUCAGGGAACAAGCCCGGCUAGGUGGCGAGGAUGGGAGUGGGGGCACAGUGGGGAGAAGGAAGGAGAACAUCAGAGCCCCAGGCCACGGAGUUGGAACUGGGGGUGCCAGAAAUCAAUAAGUCUGGGUUACCUGACCCUUUUUGAAGGUGCAAAGGUCAGUCCUCUCCCAGAUUUUCAUCCCUCCCUCCGCCCCUCCCCUCUAGCCUGCACAGGUGCCCUAAGACCCCUGCCUAGCCCAACCCACCUACCCCUCUCCUCUGCCCCAUCCUCUAGACGUGCUUAUCCGUGCUCUGCCUCAGCCUGAACACCUGCCCACAGUGGUCCUAGCCUUCCAAUUAAACCUGGAGUCCACAAUUUAGGGCAGCUGUGUGUCCUUGGGCAAGUCACUUAACCUCUCUGAGCCUUGGUUUCCUCAAAUGUAAGUGGUGGUAAAGAUCUCUCCUACUCAGAGGAAUGGUUGGAGACCAUGUUUAUAAAGGGCACUGUCCUCUUCCACCCUUCCUUCCCUUUCCCCUUGUCAGGGCAGUAAAAGCCAACAUCACCCUCGCUGGCUUCUUCCUGCCAGCCUCGCCUCCCACUUCUCCCCAAGCUAGCGUCCUAGCUGCUCCCCACUUCUACCCAGCCAUGUUCUCCCCUAGCCUUUGGCCUGUGCUGAGCCCUUCUCCUGCCCCUCCAGUUACCCAGAGCCUACCCCCUACCCCAGUCAGAGAGCUGGCUGUCAGAAGGCAGGGAUGCAAUUUCCGCUUCUCCUGCAGAAGUCCUGGGCUGUGUAUUGGCAGGUGCAUCUGCUGACCUGACAUCCCAGCCCCAGCCACCACCCAUGUCGGGACAUCGUCUCCAACCAAGGGCCCCA